AGAACGAACGCUGGCGGCAGGCUUAACACAUGCAAGUCGAACGCAUCUCUUCGGAGAUGAGUGGCAGACGGGUGAGUAACGCGUGGGAACGUACCCUUUGGUUCGGGAUAACCCGGGGAAACUCGGGCUAAUACCGGAUAAGCCGGAAACGGGAAAGGUUUACUGCCGAAGGAUCGGCCCGCGUCGGAUUAGCUAGUUGGUGUGGUAACGGCGCACCAAGGCGACGAUCCGUAGCUGGUCUGAGAGGAUGAUCAGCCACACUGGGACUGAGACACGGCCCAGACUCCUACGGGAGGCAGCAGUGGGGAAUAUUGGACAAUGGGCGCAAGCCUGAUCCAGCCAUGCCGCGUGAGUGAAGAAGGCUUUCGGGUCGUAAAGCUCUGUGGGGAGGACGAAAAACAUUGGCUAAUAUCCAAUGGACUGACUGUACCUCCUUAGCAAGCACCGGCUAACUCCGUGCCAGCAGCCGC
rnacentral:rRNA from 1 species